rnacentral:rRNA from 1 species
AUUGAACGCUGGCGGCAGGCCUAACACAUGCAAGUCGAACGGUAACAGGAAGAAGCUUGCUUCUUUGCUGACGAGUGGCGGACGGGUGAGUAAUGUCUGGGAAACUGCCUGAUGGAGGGGGAUAACUACUGGAAACGGUAGCUAAUACCGCAUAACGUCGCAAGACCAAAGAGGGGGACCUUCGGGCCUUUUGCCAUCGGAUGUGCCCAGAUGGGAUUAGCUAGUAGGUGGGGUAACGGCUCACCUAGGCGACGAUCCCUAGCUGGUCUGAGAGGAUGACCAGCCACACUGGAACUGAGACACGGUCCAGACUCCUACGGGAGGCAGCAGUGGGGAAUAUUGCACAAUGGGCGCAAGCCUGAUGCAGCCAUGCCGCGUGUAUGAAGAAGGCCUUCGGGUUGUAAAGUACUUUCAGCGGGGAGGAAGGGAGUAAAGUUAAUACCUUUGCUCAUUGACGUUACCCGCAGAAGAAGCACCGGCUAACUCCGU